AAGGUGUUUCCGUGAGAGCAGCUCACCUGUCAAGAAGUUCCCGAUGAAGCGUGCAUAGAAGGGAACCUCCCAGCUAACAAGGUUCCCCAGUCCUGAGCCCCGAAGAGGCGCCCAGGCCACUGAGGAGGCGGCCAGGAGGCCCCUGGUUACAGCAGCAUCCACGGAGCACCUCGGCACCUGGCCCACAUGGAGGGCGCUGGGUUGGCGGGGAGCCACGGAGGACCUCGAAUGGAAUGGACACGGGGACGCCAGCAGAUGUCCCAGGGACGUGCCGUAGAUCGCCCUUCACGCUGGGAUCUGUUCCUACGGGCCUCAUGCCGACCUCGAUCUGAGGGAAGAGUCCGGACACCAAGACUUGUGACCAUUCCUUUCCCCAAGACACGCUGCGGAGGACGGCUGGACUGAGCGCAGCCUUGCGGCCUCGGUUCCAGGGAGGACAGCCCAGGGCGCCCGAGUCCUGGUGCUCAUGACAGACGCCUGUGACACUGGGGACACAUGGACAUUUUCUCUGGAGCAGGACAAGUGAGGGCAGGUUCGCAGCCAGCCCACAGCGCCAGUGGCCCUCUUGACCAGAGUCCUGCCGGGAUCCAGGCUGGCCCACGGGGGCAGGUGGACGCUGCUGCCCGUGGUUGUCUGCAGCUUCCGGAGGCGUGGGCUUCCGAGGCCUGUAGGGUGAGCACCCAGGGUCCCUCGGCCCCAGCGCACACGUCGCCCCCGGACUGGGGUCCACAAGAGCGCCCUGUCCCAUUGUGCGCCCCAGGUCCCUGCAGCAGCCCGGGGCAAUCUGGUUUUAUCACGCACUUGUUUACUUGUCAGCUUGAGCACUGGGCGUCGUGGGAUUCUCACACCCCGCACACCUGGCAGGUGGAGGUGGCUGCGGGGCUAGAUGCUCUCACUCCGCUGGUGGUCGUGCACACGGGAGACAUGACUUUCCAAGCACGUCAGAUGAACUUUGACGUUAUAAUCUCUUCACUUCUUCAGUCUUUAGAAAGCGAGUAUGUUGCACGUCUGGGGGACGUGUUGUCCUCGUUCUGUGGUUUCUGUGGUUCACCUUUCACGUGGUGCUUUCUUAAUCCAGGUGAGUGUUGCACUGGUUCGUUUCUGGCUGCCUCCCCAGCACUCAUCCCAGAACGUGUCCUUGUGCUGCUGCUCAUGGAUAAGGUUUUCUUCUGUAAUAAAAGUCUGCUCUAAAAAAAAAAAAAAAAAAAAAAAAAAAAAAAAAGUCUGCUCUGUUCACUGGGUCCAGUCAUCUCCCUGCAGUUUGGGGGUGCAGUCAGGACCCCCCAGGGAGGUGCUGGGUCUGGCCUCAGGCCUGCAGAGCCAGACACCCAACUGGCCACUGCCUCAAGGUAACCAAACUUGUAAGAGACUGACAUAAUCGGAGAAGGAAUCCACUGACUUAGGAUGAGAGUGACUCCUGUGGGACAAAAUACUGUGUCCCUCUGUAGACACAGCUGUCCCGGCCCCAGGUUCUGGGGGACUAGAGGUUCCUUGGUUGCCUGAUGCCUGCGGUCAUAACCCUGGAGGGGGUCUGGGAGACCCCGACCUCGUGAGACCCUGGGAUGAUGCCCUGCAAGCACUGAGUGCUGAAGAGCCUGGGUUGGGCCCCUGUCCCAUACCCUUGCUCGUUUGCCUUCCAAGGAAGAGCUGUCCUCUUGAGGGCAGCCCUGCCCCCCAGAAGGGUACACAGGAAUACCUGGAGACAUUCUUGGUUGUCUCCGCUGAGGGGAGGGGCCACCAGACCCUGCAGAGCACAGUAUGCCUGGGGGCAAGGACCAGGCCAAGGAUGGGACUGCAAAGUCCCCGCACAGUCAGGUGAUGGGGAGACGCCCGAGGGCAGACAGAGGAGCAGCACUGUGGGCCAGGGCUUUGGGUGGCAAAACCAGGGGCCAGGCAGCUUUCUGCAGAGACCCAGACACUUGACAGGAGGCCUGUUGAGGCUGAAGAGCGGGAGCCGAGCCUCCAAGGCAUCUGGCACCCCACUAAAGGGCCACACAGGAGGGGGUGAGGGGAGACUGAGGAGGGGGUGGGAGAGGCGAGCCCCAGCCACCUCUGUGCGUUCGUUGGGGGCCAUGUGUCCAGAACAGAACUCGGCUGUGGCCAUUGCCCCAUCCCAGAAAGUGGGCCAGCUGCCACACUCCAGCCCAAACGCCAGGUUGUCGUGCCCCACAUCCCAGCAAACAGCAGGUAA
rnacentral:lncRNA from 12 species